GCUGACGCGACAGAACGCCACAUGGCCCCCGCUGAACCCGUCACAAGGUCGCCCCCGCCAGCGGCGCCAGUGGCUGCACCCCCGUGAAGGGGGCUGUUACUGACUGGGACGGAGAAGUACAUGCUACUGCUCCCCGACGCCGCGGUGCUGCCGGCGCUCGUCCCUUGUGUGUCGGUGCUCAUGCCGCGGGUGUGCAUGGCGGCCGGGGGAACUGUGCCGUGUGAACCAGGAGCUAGCGGCGGCAACCCCGGCGGUGAUGAUGAUGGUGCUACAGGUGCCUGGAUAUUCAUCAAAAAUGGUGAUGCGCACCUAUUUUCAUCAAGUAAUAGUCAAGGCAGGAAGGAAAAGGCAUAAAAAGAUGCAUUCCGAGUAUGUAGUACUGAAUCCGCAAACCCUAAGUUCCGGCCAGUCCUCCCUUCAGCCAUCUACUUCAGCCUCUUGGCCUCUCCCGACCUCUCGGCCAGAAGCACUGUCAUCAGACAGACAGACAGACAGACAGACAGACACACGCAGCCACUGGUCGCCUGCACGCACCUUGUUCCCCAUGUCGAAGGUCAGCUCGUACAUCGCCGCCAGUGUCGCCCUGUGCAUGUUCCACCAGGCCUGGCCUUGAGACUGCUCCGUGAACAUCUUGCGAUUGAAGCGAACCUUGACCAGCCGAACCGGGCCGCCUUUUUGUGCCGGUGGCUUNNNNNNNNNNNNNNNNNNNNNNNNNNNNNNNNNNNNNNNNNNNNNNNNNNGGCGGCAGCAGCCGUCGCCAGGGCGCUAGCAGUCGCUGGGUAUAAUGGCCCUCCGCCGCCGCCACCGCCAUCGCCACCAACACCAACACCAACACCGCCAGCCGAGCCGCUUCCCCCCGAACCAAAUUGCUGCAAGGCAAACACGGGUGACUCUGGGCACGGCUGCGAGGGCGGCCUCGAUACGCCUGCAUGGCUUGAGCCGCCGCUGGCCGUGCGGCUGCUGUUCCGAGAGUGGUCGCGUCGCUGCAGCAUUGCAGGGGACCCCGCCACCCCCAUAGUCCCCACAGGUGGCGGCGGCGGCAACACCAUCAUGGCCUGGCUGUCGUAGUUCAGCUCAGUCCAAGUCAUAUCGAAAUCGCCGCCGCCGCCGGCGCCACCACCGCCACCGCCGCCGCCAGCUAUUGCUGACGCGACAGAACGCCACAUGGCCCCCGCUGAACCCGUCACAAGGUCGCCCCCGCCAGCGGCGCCAGUGGCUGCACCCCCGUGAAGGGGGCUGUUACUGACUGGGACGGAGAAGUACAUGCUACUGCUCCCCGACGCCGCGGUGCUGCCGGCGCUCGUCCCUUGUGUGUCGGUGCUCAUGCCGCGGGUGUGCAUGGCGGCCGGGGGAACUGUGCCGUGUGAACCAGGAGCUAGCGGCGGCAACCCCGGCGGUGAUGAUGAUGGUGCUACAG
rnacentral:lncRNA from 1 species